AAAUUGAGUUUUGAUUUGAUUUUUAAAUUGUAAUUGUUUAGUAAAAAAAAAUAUAAAUCACAAAAGAAAAUAAGAAGGGGCAGAACUGCUCACUUUUGGCAAAAAUAACGUGUAGUGUGUGCAUGUGUAAAAUAAUUUCGGCAGAAAAUCUGUGAAUUUUAAAGAAAAAGAAAAGGCAUAAACAAGAAGAAGCACACAGAUACAAACGGUAAAUAUCGAUUUCCAUUGGUGGUGAAAUAAAUUAGCUGAAGGCCGGAAAAUAAUUCAACUAUCAUCAUGUCGCGCCUUACUGAAGAGAUGGUAAUCGCUAGAUCCAAACAAUCAGAUUUGGGAUCCAUAAAAAAGUUGAAUUGCUGGGGAAGUGAUCUCACUGACGUUUCUAUUAUAAAACGUAUGCGAGGUGUUGAAGUGUUGGCGUUAAG